rnacentral:rRNA from 1 species
GGGGAGCAAACAGGAUUAGAUACCCUGGUAGUCCACGCUGUAAACGAUGAGUACUAGGUGUCGGGGGUUACCCCCCUCGGUGCCGCAGCUAACGCAUUAAGUACUCCGCCUGGGAAGUACGCUCGCACGAGUGAAACUCAAAGGAAUUGACGGGGACCCGCACAAGUAGCGGAGCAUGUGGUUUAAUUCGAAGCAACGCGAAG